rnacentral:rRNA from 1 species
UCGGGAAUUUUGGGCAAUGGGCGAAAGCCUGACCCAGCAACGCCGCGUGAGGGAUGAAGUAUUUCGGUAUGUAAACCUCGAAAGAAUGGGAAGAAUAAAUGACGGUACCAUUUAUAAGCUCCGGCUAACUACGUGCCAGCAGCCGCGGUAAUACGUAGGGAGCAAGCGUUGUUCGGAUUUACUGGGCGUAAAGGGCGCGUAGGCGGCGCGGUAAGUCACUUGUGAAAUCUCUGAGCUUAACUCAGAACGGCCAAGUGAUACUGCUGUGCUAGAGUGCGGAAGAGGCAACCGGAAUUCUUGGUGUAGCGGUGAAAUGCGUAGAUAUCAAGAGGAACACCCGAGGCGAAGGCGGGUUGCUGGGCCGACACUGACGCUGAUGCGCGAAAGCCAGGGGAGCAAACG